CUGGCUGAAACAUAAAUAUGAAAAUCAAAUUAUAAUUCAAUUUUGUGAGCUUUUUCAUUGCAAUUUAAUCGAUCGAGAUUUUUCACGAUUUUGUUCCUUUAAAGCGAAGAAAGUUGAGCAGUUUUGGCGUCACGAAUUUUGGUCUGGGUCCGCGAUGCAAAAACAACAAAAAUCGUUUUUAUUUCUUCAAUACUUUUGAAAAAAACGUGGAUUGCUUUCGAAUAUUUAUCACAUCUUUUUCCUACGAUAUAAAAUGUCGACGAAUAACAGGCUGUUCGAGUUUUUCAAUAGACGAAGACCCAGAGUUCGUACGGCAGAGCGAAUAAAAUACUCUUAAGUUUGAAAGAAAAAGUCGAAAAGGAAAAGCUGAGGAAAAGGAAUGAGUAAAAAUGAUCUGUGACACUUGUCGAGCUGGGUGAAAGUGUAGCUAUCUCUUGGAGAUUGAAAAAAUAAAUAAAUUGUCGAGAAAAUGGUCGGUUGGGAUAGUGAAGGCGAUAAAACGAAGUGUAUACGACGACGACGACGACAGAGACAUUUUUCUCUUUGACAUUGUCGACUUCAUAUGCAUGCAUUUAUUUAUAUGAAUAUAUUUCUUCAACGAUUCCAUAAAGCAGUAGGAAAUAGAGUGCGGAAAAAGGUAAAGAAAGAGGAUAAGGAUGGCGGAGUGGUGGUUGAUGGCGAAAAGUGAAAAUAUCGUCGGGCGCAUACUCCGAGAGAGUUUUCUGUUCUCAUCUCGUUUCCUCGGUCCGCUGAUCUCGCUCGCGCGACUAAUCGACCGGAAUUAUUCCCUUUUGUGUUCUUUCUCUCACAGACACACGCAUGUACGGGAAGGCUCGAGAGUUUUUGCAGAAACUGGAAGUUCAAGAGGGAAAAAAUGCUGCGAGAUCGUGCGCGGAGGAUAUAAGGACAUUGCGGUACGUGCCCGAGCCGAGGGGACAUUUCUCGCUUUCCUUAUUAGAACUUGUAGAAAGUUGAGAACGGCAACGAGUACCCGUUGCUGCGAGAAGUGACAUUGGAAAGAAAGAGAAUAAAUAAUAUAUAAUCGAAUGAAAAUCAACGAAAAAGCAUCGUCGUAUAUACGAGCGAAUAAUGAGAUCUUCCGUUUGUAUCGAUUGAAUUUAUGUAAACAUGCAGAGGAACGCGAUCAUUUCUUGUCGAAAUUCUUUGAGGAACGAGGGAAAACAGAACCGUUAGAUUUUCUCUGUACAUGUUCCAAUAAAGAGUAAGCCCCAGGAAA